UAGAGACAAGCGUUUCCGGAUUAUUGGGUUUAAAGGGUGCGUAGGCGGUCCUAUAAGUAGUGGUGAAAGACGGCAGCUUAACUGUCGCAGUGCCUUUGAUACUGUAGGACUUGAAUCUAUUUGAAGUGGGCGGAAUAAGACAAGUAGCGGUGAAAUGCAUAGAUAUGUCUUAGAACUCCGAUUGCGAAGGCAGCUCACUAAGUUAGUAUUGACGCUGAUGCACGAAAGCGUGGGGAUCAAACAGGAUUAGAUACCCUGGUAGUCCACGCCCUAAACGAUGAUAACUCGAUGUUUGCGAUACACAGUAAGCGUCCAAGCGAAAGCGUUAAGUUAUCCACCUGGGGAGUACGGUCGCAAGAUUGAAACUCAA
rnacentral:rRNA from 1 species